rnacentral:miRNA from 1 species
GAGGCGCGCCCGGAUCG